GCAAGUCGAACGGUAGCACAGAGAGCUUGCUCUCGGGUGACGAGUGGCGGACGGGUGAGUAAUGUCUGGGAAACUGCCUGAUGGAGGGGGAUAACUACUGGAAACGGUAGCUAAUACCGCAUAACGUCGCAAGACCAAAGAGGGGGACCUUCGGGCCUCUUGCCAUCAGAUGUGCCCAGAUGGGAUUAGCUAGUAGGUGGGGUAACGGCUCACCUAGGCGACGAUCCCUAGCUGGUCUGAGAGGAUGACCAGCCACACUGGAACUGAGACACGGUCCAGACUCCUACGGGAGGCAGCAGUGGGGAAUAUUGCACAAUGGGCGCAAGCCUGAUGCAGCCAUGCCGCGUGUAUGAAGAAGGCCUUCGGGUUGUAAAGUACUUUCAGCGAGGAGGAAGGCAUUAAGGUUAAUAACCUUGGUGAUUGACGUUACUCGCAGAAGAAGCACCGGCUAACUCCGUGCCAGCAGCCGCGGUAAUACGGAGGGUGCAAGCGUUAAUCGGAAUUACUGGGCGUAAAGCGCACGCAGGCGGUCUGUCAAGUCGGAUGUGAAAUCCCCGGGCUCAACCUGGGAACUGCAUUCGAAACUGGCAGGCUAGAGUC
rnacentral:rRNA from 2 species